UCGCAAUUUCAGGCGACCACCAGGGCG
rnacentral:sRNA from 1 species